AUUGAACGCUGGCGGCAGGCCUAACACAUGCAAGUCGAGCGGAGCGGCGGACGGGUGAGUAAUGCCUAGGAAUCUGCCUGGUAGUGCGGGAUAGGGUCCGGAAACGGGCGCUAAUCCCGCAUACUAUGAGCAGGGCCUAGGUCGGAUUAGCUAGUUGGUGGGGUAAAGGCCUACCAAGGCGACGAUCGGUAACUGGUCUGAGAGGAUGAUCAGUCACACUGGAACGGAGACACGUUCAAGGCUCCUACGGGAGGCAGCAGUGGGGAAUAGUGGACAAUGGGCGAAAGCAUGAUACAGCCAUGCGGCGUGUGUGACGAAGGUCUUCGGAUGGUAAAGCACUUUCAGCGGGGAGGCGUUACCCGCAGAAGAAGCACCGGCUAACUCCGUGCCAGCAGCCGCGGUAAUAC
rnacentral:rRNA from 1 species